rnacentral:rRNA from 1 species
AUACGGAGGAUCCGAGCGUUAUCCGGAUUUAUUGGGUUUAAAGGGUGCGCAGGCGGGAGAUUAAGUCGGCGGUGAAAUUUUGCAGCUCCACUGUAAAAGUGCCUUCGAAACUGGUUUUCUUGAGCGUAGAUGCAGUAGGCGGAAUUUGUGGGGUAGCGGUGAAAUGCAUAGAUAUCACGAGGAACUCCGAUUGCGCAGGCAGCUUACUAAACUACUACUGACGCUCAGGCACGAAGGCGUGGGGAUCAGACAGGAUUAGAUACCCUGGUAGUCCACGCAGUAAACGAUGAUUACUAGCUGUUUGCGCCACAAUGUAAGCGGCUGAGCGAAAGCGUUAAGUAAUCCACCUGGGGAGUACGUUCGCAAGAAUGAAACUCAAAGGAAUUGACGGGG